rnacentral:rRNA from 1 species
UACAGAGGUCCCGAGCGUUGUUCGGAUUCACUGGGCGUAAAGGGCGCGUAGGCGGGCUGACAAGUCUGGGGUGAAAUGCCGCGGCUCAACCGUGGAACUGCCUUAGAUACUGUCGGCCUCGAGGAAGGUAGGGGCAUGCGGAACUGUAGGUGGAGCGGUGAAAUGCGUUGAUAUCUACAGGAACUCCGGUGGCGAAAGCGGCGUGCUGGACCUUUUCUGACGCUGAGGCGCGAAAGCUAGGGGAGCAAACGGG